AGUUUUCUGCCUUGUGCGAGUGCACAGCUUUUAUAAUCCAACACUUGAUAAAAGGAAGUCCUGCUCUUUUUGCGGAUUGCAGACCUCCCGCCGCCACCGCUUUUGCCGUGUGCGAUACGGAUGCUGGGAGCGAGAAACAUAAAGGGGGACGUUAUCCACCCUGCUAAAGGCGGGUUUUAUUCACUGUGUAUCGGCAAGGCGGAGUAAUU
rnacentral:other from 1 species